GACGAACGCUGGCGGCGUGCUUAACACAUGCAAGUCGAACGGUGAAGCUCCAGCUUGCUGGAGUGGAUCAGUGGCGAACGGGUGAGUAACACGUGAGCAACCUGCCCCUGACUCUGGAAUAAGCGCUGGAAACGGCGUCUAAUACUGGAUACGAGAAGGGUCCGCAUGGGCACUUUCUGGAAAGUUUUUCGGUUGGGGAUGGGCUCGCGGCCUAUCAGCUUGUUGGUGAGGUAAUGGCUCACCAAGGCGACGACGGGUAGCCGGCCUGAGAGGGCGACCGGCCACACUGGGAAUGAGACACGGCCCAGACUCCUACGGGAGGCAGCAGUGGGGAAUAUUGCACAAUGGGCGAAAGCCUGAUGCAGCGACGCCGCGUGAGGGAUGACGGCCUUCGGGUUGUAAACCGCUUUCGGCAGGGAAGAAGCGAAAGUGACGGUACCGGCAGAAGAAGCACCGGCUAACUACGUG
rnacentral:rRNA from 1 species